AGAGUUUGAUCCUGGCUCAGAACGAACGCUGGCGGCGUGGAUAAGACAUGCAAGUCGAGCGGGAUAUCACGGGUAGCAAUAUUCGUGAUGUCUAGCGGCGCAAGGGUGCGUAACACGUGGGCAAUUUGCCAUAAAGCUGGGGAUAACUCCGGGAAACCGGAGCUAAUACCGAAUGUGAACAUUUUUGGGCAUCCAGAGAUGUUUAAAGCUGGGGACCUUUACCGGCCUGGCACUUUAUGAUGAGCCCGCGGCCUAUCAGCUAGUUGGCGGGGUAACGGCCCACCAAGGCUAAGACGGGUAGCUGGUCUGAGAGGACGACCAGCCACACUGGAACUGAGACACGGUCCAGACACCUACGGGUGGCAGCAGUCGAGAAUUUUUCACAAUGGGCGCAAGCCUGAUGGAGCGACGCCGCGUGGGGGAUGAAGGGCUUCGGCUCGUAAACCCCUGUCAGUUGCGAACAAGAUUCAUUCGAUAACACUGGGUGGAUUGAUAGUAGUGACAGAGGAAGGGACGGCUAACUCUGUGCCAGCAGCCGCGGUAAU
rnacentral:rRNA from 1 species